AACGAACGCUGGCGGCAGGCCUAACACAUGCAAGUCGAGCGGACCCUUCGGGGUUAGCGGCGGACGGGUGAGUAACGCGUGGGAACGUGCCCUUUGCUUCGGAAUAGCCCUGGGAAACUGGGAGUAAUACCGGAUACGCCCUUUUGGGGAAAGAUUUAUCGGCGAAGGAUCGGCCCGCGUUGGAUUAGGUAGUUGGUGGGGUAAUGGCCUACCAAGCCGACGAUCCAUAGCUGGUUUGAGAGGAUGAUCAGCCACACUGGGACUGAGACACGGCCCAGACUCCUACGGGAGGCAGCAGUGGGGAAUCUUAGACAAUGGGGGAAACCCUGAUCUAGCCAUGCCGCGUGAGCGAUGAAGGCCUUAGAGUUGUAAAGCUCUUUCACCGGGGAAGAUAAUGACGGUACCCGAAGAAGAAGCCCCGGCUAACUCCGUG
rnacentral:rRNA from 1 species